GUGGGGAAUUUUGGACAAUGGGCGCAAGCCUGAUCCAGCAAUGCCGCGUGCAGGAAGAAGGCCUUCGGGUUGUAAACUGCUUUUGUACGGAACGAAACGGUCCUGGUUAAUACCUGGGGCUAAUGACGGUACCGUAAGAAUAAGCACCGGCUAACUACGUGCCAGCAGCCGCGGUAAUACGUAGGGUGCAAGCGUUAAUCGGAAUUACUGGGCGUAAAGCGUGCGCAGGCGGUUUUGUAAGACAGGCGUGAAAUCCCCGGGCUCAACCUGGGAAUGGCGCUUGUGACUGCAAGGCUGGAGUGCGGCAGAGGGGGAUGGAAUUCCGCGUGUAGCAGUGAAAUGCGUAGAUAUGCGGAGGAACACCGAUGGCGAAGGCAAUCCCCUGGGCCUGCACUGACGCUCAUGCACGAAAGCGUGGGGAGCAAACAGGAUUAGAUACCCUGGUAGUCC
rnacentral:rRNA from 1 species